rnacentral:rRNA from 1 species
GUGGGGAAUAUUGCGCAAUGGGCGGAAGCCUGACGCAGCGACGCCGCGUGAGGGAUGACGGCCUUCGGGUUGUAAACCUCUUUCAGCUCUGACGAAGCGAAAGUGACGGUAGGAGCAGAAGAAGCACCGGCCAACUACGUGCCAGCAGCCGCGGUAAUACGUAGGGUGCAAGCGUUGUCCGGAAUUAUUGGGCGUAAAGAGCUCGUAGGCGGUUUGUCGCGUCGAAUGUGAAAACCCGGGGCUCAACUCCGGGCCUGCAUUCGAUACGGGCAGACUAGAGUUCGGUAGGGGAGACUGGAAUUCCUGGUGUAGCGGUGAAAUGCGCAGAUAUCAGGAGGAACACCGGUGGCGAAGGCGGGUCUCUGGGCCGAUACUGACGCUGAGGAGCGAAAGCGUGGGGAGCGAACAGGAUUAGAAACCCUGGUAGUCC